CAGUAGCCACGGGAAUACGGAGGGGGCUAGCGUUGUUCGGAAUUACUGGGCGUAAAGCGCACGUAGGCGGCUUGGUAAGUUAGAGGUGAAAGCCUGGAGCUCAACUCCAGAAUUGCCUUUAAGACUGCCGAGCUAGCAGGUGAGAGAGGUAAGUGGAAUUCCGAGUGUAGAGGUGAAAUUCGUAGAUAUUCGGAAGAACACCAGUGGCGAAGGCGGCUUACUGGCUCAUACUGGACGCUGAGGUGCGAAAGCGUGGGGAGCAAACAGGAUUAGAUACCCGCGUAGUCCCUGUCUCUUAUAU
rnacentral:rRNA from 1 species